rnacentral:rRNA from 1 species
UACGUAGGGUGCGAGCGUUGUCCGGAAUUAUUGGGCGUAAAGAGCUCGUAGGCGGCCUGUCGCGUCGGAUGUGAAAGCCCGGGGCUUAACCCCGGGUCUGCAUUCGAUACGGGCAGGCUAGAGUUCGGUAGGGGAGAUCGGAAUUCCUGGUGUAGCGGUGAAAUGCGCAGAUAUCAGGAGGAACACCGGUGGCGAAGGCGGAUCUCUGGACAGUUCCUGACACUGAGACACGAAGGCCAGGGGAGCAAACGGG